CGACAGCAUUCAAAUGGAAAUGGAUUAUGCCAAUAGCAAUUGGUUUACCAAAAUGUUUAUGUCUUCGAGAGAAAUGCAACAAAGAGAAAGUAUUAAAAUGUCUAACAAACUUCGUUGGCAGAAUUGUCAAGUGAAAUGCUGCUCAAACCCGUCGAAGUCUUCUUGAAAUCAAUUAGUCACACUCUUGCGAACUUAUUCACUGAAUUAACAUUUCCAUGUAACUUGAUUGCUCCAAUCGCACUAAUCCUCGUGAUCGCGUUCAGCUUUAAGCUGUUCUACGGAUAUAUCUGUAUUCGACUACUCGGCACGCCCCUUUAAGCCAGAACCAGUUUCGCUGUCCAGAGUCCAACAAACCUAACUAAACCUAGGGAAACUAAGCGGAAAACUUAGAGCACGCAGGAUAAUGCUAAUCGUACAUAAGAUUCAACGAAGUCUGUCAUUAGAAUUAUAUAUAAUAUAUAUAUACUUAUGCAUGCACUGUUUACCGAGGCGAACUGAGAGAAUUUAUCUAAUUGAUUUCUGAAAUCUUAUACGCAAAUUGGUCCGCUAUCAAAAUCUUGGUUAAUAAUUUCACUAGACAAAUUCAACAAUAUAGUAAACAAGUAUGUACUAUGUUAUAUUUUGUAUAUAUGCUUGUGUCGAUGAUCGGUUCUUGAACAACUCUUCUCCCCACUAUGCACCUAAAUCAUAUCCAAACAACGAGAGCGUGUGGCACUUGUACUGUGUUGUGCAUAAGAAAUGGGCUAAGUCAUAAUUAAUAUAAUUACUCGUUCUCUCCUAAUUUGGCGAAACAUCAAUUAAAAUCAAUUAUUUUUCAUUAGCUGAAUGGACUAUAAGUAAUUUAAGUUAAAAAAAACUAAUGCCUUCUCUCUUGUAAUAUCAAUCAACAGUAAAACGACUCGAAACUAUUUCAUUUAACCUUUAACCUGCUAAUAGACUUUAAAUCCUACGCAUAAGCCAACCCAACUAUUUUAAUAAUUAAGCAAAUACCACAAUUUGUAAACUGUGCUCGUUUUUAGAAAACAGGCAACUCAUAUACCUUCGCAACAUAUGCUUCGAUGUAAACGCGGAUAGUGAUCCUCAUUUAGCACUAACUCUACAAUUUCUGAAUGAGCGGCAAAAAUUGUGCUUAUUGCCUGGCAUGACGAUCCCUGAUCGGAUCGUACCGUCAUGCAGGGCCUAAUCGUUGACUAAAUCUAAUUUGUGUUUGCAUUGUUAAUAAACUUCAGCAAAUAAUUGUAAAUGAAUACAUAUUUCAUCCAUACGUCUGUCCUUAAACAAUGUCCCUAAAGUCUAUAAGUACCAUAAGUGAAAAGAAUUAAAACGAAACUAACGCACGAUCCGUAUGCAUACUUCCUCGGGACCAUCAAGUGGGUUUAAGUGAAUAGAGUGUGAGUAUUAUUUAUACAUUAUAAGUGAUGUUAGUGGUAAUUAUUCCAUUUGUUAAAUAUUUCUUUUUUCGUUUGUUUUUGUUUUUGUUUUGGUGGUAAAUAGUUAUACAGCAAUUGAUUGAUAGUCAAAUAAGCGCCUUUGCAGCAAACGAAUGGGAUCCAUAUCGAUUCGGUUGCCACAAAUGCUCCAGAAUUGUCGCUAGUUUGUUGUCUUCUGUUCUUCGUGAUCUGUUGUGAAAUGGAUUUGUUGUGAGUACACCUUCUAAUCGGUUUACCGGCUCUGAUAGUAAGUAGAUAAAAAUUUUAAGUAGGUACUUUGGCUUUUCUCUUGGGUUACACAUAUGUAUGCAUAUAUGUGCAUCUCUAUAUAUAUAUAUAUAUAUUCGUAUAGUACAUAUUAUAGCAUUAUGAUAUCUGUAUAAUGUACACAUCUAUUGUGUGUGUGCGAGUAUGUCAUGUUCUGUUAUGUAGUAUGUUUAUGUAUUUGAUAUGUAUGCCGUUGCGUUUCAGAUGCAGUUUUCCGAAUCCAAAAGAAAUUACUUCGAUCUGUGUGUCUGUGUGUGUGUGUGCUGUGCGGGUGGGUGUGGGGGCGGUACAUUGAUUGCCUUCUACAUUCUGCUAGACUAGAGAAGGUGUUGCGUGUUGAUAAAAUCUAUGUACGCAAAAUAUACUCGUAAUGCUGUCUUAUAGUUUUCAUUUUUCGCUUUCUUCAAUCCAUCUAUAAUUAAUAAUAUAUUUCUCAUCUAUGCAGGCUAUUCUCUGAUAACAUCAGUCCCAAUGUGUGGUAUUUAUAUGUAUAUA